GCUUUGGAGAUAGAAGAUUUGGUUUGCUGCAAGGUGAAAUCUCAGACACGUUACAUAGCAAGAUCAUUCAUCAGGAAUUCAGAUGCACCUUCAAUAUUACACAGUUCUGAUAGUCUAACUCAAGCCAGUAAUAACCUUACCCAAUAUGAAGGAGAUGAUGAGUUUUAUGAGGUGUCUGAGAAUCUUAAUGAGUCAGUUGGUGGCCCCGAGUCACUAGGUGAUGAAAUGGAGUAUAUGAGUUCUCAAAUUACCACCGAUUCAGGUAGCUUGGAGUUGAAGGCCCCAAGUUUUUUGCGUGUUGCUGGUAUACUGCCUUCUGACGUUACUCCUCUGGAAUCUGGUCAGAUAGGAGUUACUGAUGCAUUGGACAGUUUUGUGAAAGCUCAAAUAAUUAUUUUCGACCAGAACUCACCACUUUAUUCCAAUGUUGAUAAACAUGUAAGUUGGUAUCAACUGUACUCAAUUAUACUAUGGAUUAGUCAAUUGGCCCUUUUAAUUUGUGUCAUAAUUUUGCUAGGUCAACUAUUCCUUUUGUAAAAUAUACAUAACGAUUACACGCUAAUACAUUUGACAUUAAAGCUCGACACAUAUAUUGAUAUGUCACUUUUUUAUUUCAGGUCGCAGUCACACUCUCUACCUUAUCCUUUUACUGUCGUAGGCCUACUAUACUAGCCAUUAUGGAAUUUGUAAAUGCUAUCAACAUCCAGGAGGAAAACUCUGAACCUUCUAGUGAUACUUCGUCAAUUGUUGCAUCGCAUGGUACAUCGAAGGAAAUCAUGAACGACGGUCCGCCCUCAGCUCCAGUGGAAGAGCCUAUAGUAAAAUCUUUGCUUGGAAAAGGGAAAUCCAGAGUGAUUUUCCAUUUGCUGUUGAAUAUGGCUCGCGCUGAGAUAUUUUUGAUGAAGGAAAAUGACUCUAAACUUGCUACGUUGGCACAAGAUAAUUUUGUUACGGAUAUUAAGGUGCACAAGCCAUCCAUUUUAUUUUCUGAGGGAAAAAUUAUCAUAUCAUCCUUGGAUUGAUCUGAAAUUAUUUUCUCCAUGUGACAGGUCUUCCCGUCAUCUUUUAGUGUAAAAGCCUCCCUUGGGAACCUUAGAAUAAGUGAUGACAGUCUUCAUAGCAGUCAUAUGUAUUUCUGGGCCUGUGAUAUGAGGAAUCCUGGUGGGAAUUCAUUUGNNNNNNNNNNNNNNNNNNNNNNNNNNNNNNNNNNNNNNNNNNNNNNNNNNNNNNNNNNNNNNNNNNNNNNNNNNNNNNNNNNNNNNNNNNNNNNNNNNNNCCAGCUUAAUCGACUCUCUAGAGUCACUGAUUAGCAACCAUAUAAUAGAAAUGGGUUUCAACUUUUACGUGUUUUGUGUUACUUGUGGUUGCAGUUGUUUCUCUCUUGCUCAGUCUAUCUGCCUCUUGUCCUGUCUUUGCUAACAUGUCUUUGCUUACAGUACAUUAUGGGUUUGAGUUUAGUAAUACCGCAUAUACAUUUUCAACGAAAAACAGUCCGUCCCUCAUAAUAUCACCGUUUUCAACAAAAUAAAUUCUUAUUGGUUGUAUUUGUCCCAAAUUGCAAAUUUGUAAGACUAUUGCAAUGCUUAUAUGUGGAACGGGCAUUCUCUCUCCUUGAGCAAGCUUUUGGAAAUGAGUUAUACCCAUUGCCCAUUUAACAUGGUAUCUAUCAUAGUGGGUUUGUAGGUGAUGGUGGGUUUGUAAAUUCUGGGCCCAUUGCAUGACACGCUAUGCGUGGGGCGGGUGUUAUUUGUUGUAUUUGUCCCACGUCGCAAUUGAGAAUCUUCCAAUGUUUAUAUGUGGAAUGGUCCCCCUCGCCACUUGAGCUAGUUUUUAGAGAUGAGUUCUACCCAAAUCCAUUAAUACAUUUCAUGUUUUGAAAUGAUCCGGGGCUUGAACAAAAUGGUCCGGUUCAUAAUUUAUAAAAUGGUUGAUGUUUUUUGAUACUUAACUUGCAAGGCAUGCAUACAUAAUUCAUAUAUAUAUAUAUAUAUAUAUAUAUAUAUAUACACAUACAGUUCUACAUAUGUACACAUACACACACAUACAUAUCUAUGAACAUAUCUAUUUUAAACCUCUGAAUUUGCAUAUUUAUUCUGUUACUUUUGUCUUGACUUUAGAGUGUUGAGGUAUUUCCUUCUGUAUCUGAUUUAGUUGCAAUUUUUUUUGUGUUGAAUGUGCAGUUGGUAUUUUGUUCAUUCAAUGCUGAUGAUGAAGACUAUAAAGGAUACGAGUACAGCCUCGUUGGCCAACUAUCUGAAGUUCGAGUUGUCUAUUUGAAUCGCUUUCUUCAAGAGGUCAUUUAAAUUUUUUUCGUUGUCAUCCUUUUGAUUGUGAACUUGUAUUCACUGUUACAAAUUAAAAUAAUUUCAGGUUGUCGGCUACUUUAUGGGUCUUGUUCCUAGCAAUUCCAAAGAUGUUAUCCAAAUAAGAGAUCAGAUGACAAACUCGGGGAAGUGGCUUACAAGAAGUGAAAUUGAAGGAUCGCCCGCANNNNNNNNNNNNNNNNNNNNNNNNNNNNNNNNNNNNNNNNNNNNNNNNNNNNNNNNNNNNNNNNNNNNNNNNNNNNNNNNNNNNNNNNNNNNNNNNNNNNCACUAUAGAUGGAGCCAAGAUUCUCCUGAUCGAACUGAUACUUCAUCCAAGCGUAGCUUUAUCAGUUUCCUACCAGUUAUUGACAAGUGUGGAGUAUCAGUAAAGCUUCAACAGGUGAUAUCUAUAAACUUAUAUGGGAUUCAGUAGUGCAUUUAAGUAGGUAUGUAUUAACAUUUGGCAGCCAGUCAAGUUGUUAUUAAUCCAUUUUUGGCUUUUCAGAUUAGAUCACCAGUUGCCUCUUUCCCCUCAACAAGACUUGCUGUGCGGGUACCCUCCAUGGGGUUUCAUUUUUCUCCAUCUCGUUAUCAUCGUUUAAUGCAAAUAGCUAAGAUUUUUCAAGGGAAGCAAGAGGACCAUCCUGAUCUUGUCUGUCCCUGGGAUGAAGCUGAUUUUGCAGGCUGGCUGUAUCAGCUUACACGGAAGGUUGUAUGUUUAUGCUCUUUUGUUUGCGAGUUACCUAAUAGAAGGAUGAUAAUUUUGUGAUUUUCUGCCUUUCCUCAUGAUAUAUUUCAUUUCAUGUUUGUUGUUCAGGGUGUAGGAGGUAGAGAAGCUGUAUGGCAGCAGAGAUAUUUUUGUAUAGUUGGACCUUUUCUGUAUGUCCUAGAAAAUCCAGAGUCGAGAAAUUAUAAACAAUACUUCAGGUUUGGACAUGACUGCUUGAAACUCUCUUAUCUGAUUUACUGGAGUCUAAGUGGUAUUUGGGUUUUUGUACUACCGUAAUAGGAUUUACUCAAUAUCAUACCUCGUGUUGCUGUAUAUGUUCUGAAGUAUCAGAGUCAUAAAGAUGUUUGUUUGUAUGAUGUGUGGAUGCAAAAAGUUUAAACAUGCAAGGGAUAUAGUGAUUACUAUUUUUUGGGAAAUGUUUAAAAACUGGUAUGAUGUGAGUAGGCCUAUGCCAGAAAGUCUGAGAAAUGCGAACUAAUUGGAUAGUGUUACCAAAUUAAAAGCCUUCAAAAUGUCUAUAAACUGUUCAAAUACUGGGAACAAUAAAGGUUUAUGUUUUUUUCAAUGUCAGGUACCUACUAAACAUAAGGGCAAUGUUUGGAUUCGUUUUGGGAGUUAUUUUCAUUUUAUUUUGAGGAAAUAUGUUUUGAGGGAAUAAUUUGAUAAUGAAACUAAUGUUUGUUUAUAAUUUGCUAUGAGACAAAAUACAAUGUAGCGGUCAAAUCAUGUUUAAAGGUGUUAGGGAAAAUGUAUUGUAAAAGAAGAAUUUGAAAAGUAAAGUGAUGUUUUUUUUUAGUGAAGACAAUUUUUACUGUAGCAGUCAGAUUUUUUAUAGCAGUCAAAUCAUAUCUGAAGGAGAUAUAAACUUUAGAAGUUGUUUUGACAUUUUUUUUGGAAACCUUAACAAACACGAAUUGUUUUGGGGAAAGAAUUAAAGUUGAAUGAAAACGGAACCAAACAUUGCGCAAGGCUUUUCUAGGCCAAUGAUUUCCUAGUAUCUUUACAUCGUUGUCUACAUUUAUGUUGACCUUUAUGAUGGUGACAUUGCCCUGUGAUAUUUUUGGUUCUAGUCUACGAGGUAAGCAUUUAUAUCAAGUUCCUGCUGAUUGUCUUGGAAAUGAGGAACACGUGUUGGCUGUUUGUGAUGGUGAGCGCUCCGCCGUCAAGGUAGUCAUCAGGAAUAAUAAUCUGAUAUCUCAUUUUCAUUUUAGUGGAGCUUCUUGGUUUGUGGUGCAGUUUGCUUCACAUAUCUCUUACCUUUUUAGGUGGUGGAAGAUCCAAAUGCUCUGAUUUUGCGUUGCGACUCCGAAAAUUCAAGGACAACUUGGCAAACCAACCUCCAAGGAGCCAUUUAUCGUGCCUCGGUAUUCUGUCACAUUUUAUCUUAAACAUAAAACUGUUUGUGUCAUGGUUUGCAAUUGAAGUCGUUUCUUAUUGGAAGAAUCCUUGAAUUUAUAUGCAGGGAACUACUCCUAUAGCUGGUCUGAUUGAAAACUUGUCAGAUUCAGAAGACUCUGAAAUUGACAAUCGUGAUUCUACAGAUUCAUCAACGACAGAGAAAUUGUUUUUGACUGGUGUACUGGAUGAGUUGAAGAUAAGUUUCAGUUACAGUAACCUGGUAAGUAAUCUUUUCAGACCUACUGUUAUGUGGAGUAUAUAACUGCUAAACCAUUGAACAUGCACAUACUUCUUUUAGCAUGAUCAGAGUUUUAUGAAGAUGCUUCUUGCGGAAGAAAAACGUUUGCUUGAGUUUCGAGCAAUUGGUGGACAGGUUAGAAAUUGUCAAAUAUACAGUAUGUAGCAUUUUAAGUGUUGAAGCAUUCUUGUUAAUCAUUUGAAUCAUUCUGAUGCAGGUUGAACUGUCAAUUCGAUCGGAUGAUAUUUUCAUUGGCACAGUCCUUAGAGCUUUGGAGAUAGAAGAUUUGGUUUGCUGCAAGGUGAAAUCUCAGACACGUUACAUAGCAAGAUCAUUCAUCAGGAAUUCAGAUGCACCUUCAAUAUUACACAGUUCUGAUAGUCUAACUCAAGCCAGUAAUAACCUUACCCAAUAUGAAGGAGAUGAUGAGUUUUAUGAGGUGUCUGAGAAUCUUAAUGAGUCAGUUGGUGGCCCCGAGUCACUAGGUGAUGAAAUGGAGUAU
rnacentral:lncRNA from 1 species